rnacentral:lncRNA from 1 species
AAAAAUAAUGCAUUGUAUGCCGGAAGGGAUAAAUCUGGGGCUGAGUACAAGCAAAACAAGACCAAAGGAAGCUACCUGAGCAGGUAUUCCAGAUACUCAUGUCAUACACCAAGGUUGUACCAGUGCCCCUUUCUCUGUGACACAUCCAUCCACUGGAAACUUUCGUACAACUAGCUGAAAGAAGAGAAACAUCCUAUUUCAUGUCACUGGAGCCCUAAUGAUCGCAGCCAUUUCAGGAAAUGCCAUCAAUUACAGUGAGGAGCUCAUUCAGAAGUGAAAGAUGAGUUCCAUUCUCUGUUACUUAGAGGAACACAAUUAUUUCUGGAAAGAGUAUUACACUCAGUAUUCUGCAUUUCAUAUGGCAUUUCAAAGUCCUGAGAAUGACUCUCCGUAGUCUUCUAUGUACUAAUUAAACAUGAACAUGUGGUAAACAACAUGGACUAUUCCAGUGGACAGAAAGCGUCAAGUUAAAAUGUUUAAGUGCCCCAUAUUUUUCUAAGUAUUCUUAUCCAGUUGGUCUGACUGGUCAUUAUCUGUUUUGUAAAACUUCCCAAACAACUCAUCAAUAUUUAAAUAGCUAUCCAAAUUAUAAACUUCAAAUAGCAGAAUCCAAAUGUCAUUUAUGCAUAAUUCAAAAGAACUUUGCUGAAAACAAUCUUUGGAUUACAAUUGCUCUCUAAUCCACCUCUUGAAUUUCUACAUAAGAAUUCAAUGCCAAUGCAAUUCAAAUCAAUUCAUUCAUGGUUGAUGUUAAAACUUCCUUUAAGAGGAUAGUAUGGCAGAAACAAAACUGAAUUUGAACAAGAGGGAAACUGCAGAAGAUAAACAUUUUUUCUGUAGAAAGUUUCCAACUUUUACAUUUUUGUGGUAAUUUUUAACAUUAUAGGUAUAAUUAAAUUAUCACUAAAGUUAUAUCUAUUAAUCCUAAGUGGUUUAAAAUAAUUUCUCUGUUCAAACUGAUGCAGCUCGCUAUUACAAUUUAAUAUAAUUUUUUCAAACUAUAAUUGAUUUCUAAGACUAGUAAAAUUUUUGAGCUACCAUUAACCCCAAAAUAUCUGGAAAAAGAAAAUCAUCAUAGGUAACUCCUGAUGACUCCUACCUCUUUCAGUCACAUACUUAGCAUUAUCUGCUGUACAGGUUUAAAGAAUGUUGGUCACAGGAUUGAAGUGAAUAUUUCAUUUAUGUGUAGCCAAAAUAUUAUCAUAUGAAGCCCAAAAGAAGAGUAAAAUACAUCCUUGUGAUAUUAUUAACAUGACUUUGUGCCAGACAAAGCAUAGUUACUCUACAGAUGGAUUAUGAAUAGAGAAAAAGUGUGUAGUUGAAUUCUUUGGAAUUAUGGACUAUAUUCCAUAAAUCCCAGAUGGAGUCACUAUGAUUAAUGUUACCUCAAUGAAUACAAAAUGAAUAAAUAAUUAUCCUCCACUUACUGUAAAG